rnacentral:rRNA from 1 species
GUCCAUGCCAUAAACGAUGAAUACUAGGUUUUGGGCCCGUCAACGGUCCAGAGCCGCAGCUAACGCGUUAAGUAUUCCGCCUGGGGAGUACGGUCGCAAGACUGAAACUCAAAGGAAUUGACGGGGGCCCCGCACAAGCGGUGGAGCAUGUGGUUUAAUUCGACGCAACGCGAAGAACCUUACCAAGGCUUGACAUGGGGAAGACUGGACGAGAGAUCGUCCUUCUCUAGCAAUAGAGCUUCCCACACAGGUGCUGCAUGGCUGUCGU